UACGGGGGGGGUAAGCGUUGUUCGGAAUUACUGGGCGGAAAGGGCUCGUAGGCGGCCAACUAAGUCAGACGUGAAAUCCCUCAGCUUAACUGGGGAACUGCGUCUGAUACUGGAUGGCUUGGAUUCGGGAGAGGAAUGCGGAAUUCCAGGUGUAGCGGUGAAAUGCGUAGAUAUCUGGAGGAACACCGGUGGCGAAGGCGGCAUUCUGGACCGAUAUUGACGCUGAGGAGCGAAAGCCAGGGGAGCAAACGGG
rnacentral:rRNA from 1 species